rnacentral:tRNA from 1 species
GCGCCCUUAGCUCAGUUGGUAGAGCGUCGAGAGUAAUGAUCUCGAAGGUCCAAGGUUCGAAUCCUUGAGGGCGCG